rnacentral:misc_RNA from 1 species
UUAACGAUUUUUGUUUAGAUUCAGACAGACACAUUUAAAAAGAAUUUGAGAAGGCUACUGGCGGGCACGGGCCAGGGGUAUAACACCCCCGGCGGCCCAGGGGCGGGCCCGCCAAAGCAACAUGGUUUGGUAAACAAAGGGUUGGAGGUCGGGCCUGGAAGACCCUUACUCGAUAAUGAUCCUUCCGCAGGUUCACCUACGGAAA